rnacentral:rRNA from 1 species
AACGAACGCUGGCGGCAGGCCUAACACAUGCAAGUCGAGCGAGGACUUCGGUCCUAGCGGCGGACGGGUGAGUAACGCGUGGGAACGUGCCCUUUGCUUCGGAAUAGCUCUGGGAAACUGGGAGUAAUACCGGAUGAGCCCUUAGGGGGAAAGAUUUAUCGGCGAAGGAUCGGCCCGCGUUGGAUUAGGUAGUUGGUGGGGUAAUGGCCUACCAAGCCGACGAUCCAUAGCUGGUUUGAGAGGAUGAUCAGCCACACUGGGACUGAGACACGGCCCAGACUCCUACGGGAGGCAGCAGUGGGGAAUCUUAGACAAUGGGGGAAACCCUGAUCGAGCCAUGCCGCGUGAGCGAUGAAGGCCUUAGGGUUGUAAAGCUCUUUCAGCUGGGAAGAUAAUGACGGUACCAGCAGAAGAAGCCCCGGCUAACUCCGUG